rnacentral:piRNA from 1 species
UCCAACAUCCAGAUGAUCCUGCUUGAGUGA